UACGAAGGGGGGCUAGCGUUGCUCGGAAUCACUGGGCGUAAAGGGUGCGUAGGCGGGUCUUUUAAGUCAGGGGUGAAAUCCUGGAGCUCAACUCCAGAACUGCCUUUGAUACUGAAGAUCUUGAGUUCGGGAGAGGUGAGUGGAACUGCGAGUGUAGAGGUGAAAUUCGUAGAUAUUCGCAAGAACACCGGUGGCGAGGCGGCGAACCUGGUCCGAUACUGACGCUGAGGCGCGAAAGCGUGGGGAGCAAACGG
rnacentral:rRNA from 1 species